rnacentral:snoRNA from 1 species
AUUCCAUGAUUGAGACAUUCUAGGAUGUAGUCUUGGAAGCGCUCCCAUGCUUCUGGAACGGUUCAUCAUGUUGUUGCUGAAAACUUGUAAUCUUCCCACACGGAGCAU